GACAGUGUGGCAUAGUAGUUUGAGUGCUGAACUGCAUGCAACUUUGGAGACCUGGGUUCGAUUCCCAGCUUGGCCA